CUAAUACAUGCAAGUAGAACGCUGAAGAGAGGAGCUUGCUCUUCUUGGAUGAGUUGCGAACGGGUGAGUAACGCGUAGGUAACCUGCCUUGUAGCGGGGGAUAACUAUUGGAAACGAUAGCUAAUACCGCAUAACAAUGGAUGACACAUGUCAUUUAUUUGAAAGGGGCAAUUGCUCCACUACAAGAUGGACCUGCGUUGUAUUAGCUAGUAGGUGAGGUAAUGGCUCACCUAGGCGACGAUACAUAGCCGACCUGAGAGGGUGAUCGGCCACACUGGGACUGAGACACGGCCCAGACUCCUACGGGAGGCAGCAGUAGGGAAUCUUCGGCAAUGGGGGCAACCCUGACCGAGCAACGCCGCGUGAGUGAAGAAGGUUUUCGGAUCGUAAAGCUCUGUUGUAAGUCAAGAACGGGUGUGAGAGUGGAAAGUUCACACUGUGACGGUAGCUUACCAGAAAGGGACGGCUAACUACGUGCCAGCAGCCGCGGUAAUACGUAGGUCCCGAGCGUUGUCCGGAUUUAUUGGGCGUAAAGCGAGCGCAGGCGGUUUGAUAAGUCUGAAGUUAAAGGCUGUGGCUCAACCAUAGUUCGCUUUGGAAACUGUCAAACUUGAGUGCAGAAGGGGAGAGUGGAAUUCCAUGUGUAGCGGUGAAAUGCGUAGAUAUAUGGAGGAACACCGGUGGCGAAAG
rnacentral:rRNA from 1 species